AAAAAAAAAAAGAGGAUAAAAGAAAACUCGCUCUUGCAGACGGAAACUUCUGGAAAUUAAGAGCUUUCGCUCCAGCCACUUCGAUUUACAGGGUUUUUAGGGUUUUGAUUUUGCGCUAGGGUUCCAACGCUUGGUUAGGGUUUUUGCGAUUACAGAUCAACGGCUUGCAUCCUUUUGCGUCGAAGAUGAGAUCUGAUGCGGCGGUUUGGUUUUACUUCAGUGCCGGAUAGAAGAUCUCGGAGGCAUGUCGGAUUGGGGCGUGUAUGAGCUUGAAGAUAUUGUAUGGGAUGAGUUUGAUGGGAGUGAUGAUCAUAUAGUGCCUCAUCCUGGUGGUGCACCAGCAAAUGAAUGUGUAGCUCAAGUUGAUUGCCAUAGGAAGCGAAGCUUUGAAGCAGCAAAUGCUAUUGGAAGGAUCAUAGAUAGCAAAACCUCUGUGGUAAAAAAUGUUGUUCAGGGAAAGGAGAAAACAAUUCUUCCUACAAUUCUAGAGGACGGAAAGGCUCCAAUGCUGGAGAAGGGUUCGUGGUUUCAUUCACAUGAUGAUGUUUUUCCUGCUUCAUGUGAUGAUGACUACAUUGCUUCUGAGGAUGCUAAAGCGUCCAAUGAUUGUUUCAACAAUAGCAACGAAGAUUCAGUUGGCAAUGAGUUCUGUACAGAUGAUCCUCUCCUUGGAAAUCGAGCUGAUGCAGUUGAGAGCAACUUGUGCCGCUUCCAGCUUGAUAAUAUUUCUCCAGAAGACACUGAUUUCAAGUUUCUCAGGAACGACCAUGAGAACAGCGAGGGUAGCGAUCUUUUCGAUUACGGGUGGCCUGAUAUCGGCAAUUUUGAGGAUGUGGACAGAAUGUUUAGAAAUAGUGAUUUCACCUUUGGGCAAGGGAGUGCUAGUAUCGCCAAUGAACUAUCAUGGUUUUCAGCAUCUUCACAUGUAAUUGAUGGGUCUGAGGACACUUUUAAGUCAGGCUUUAUACCUUCAUCUCCAGGGUCAAGUGCAUUGCAGAGUACAUCAAAAUAUCAUGACGCUGAUAUGAAAUGUAUGCCUGGCAGUGACCCUCAAACUGCUGAUUGUAAUGAGAAAAGUUGCUCCAAUACUUUUCAGGCAUAUGACUGUAAUGGAGGGGAUGAGGUCAAGCUAUCAUCUCUGACUCAGAUUAAUAGCCAAAAUAGUGCAGGUGGAUGCCAGACUGAUAUGGCCAAUAUGCAAAGGAAGCAGGUGAAGAGUGUAGACCGGUUAGGAGGAAAAAGAAAAGAUCAGUCUUUAGAAUGCUUAAGUGGCAAUGUGAAUGGUCUUCUUCCAAUGCAAGUACCUGCAAGCCUAGAACUUCCUUGUCCUGCAACAUCUGCUCCAAAAAGUUCCUCUCAAAUCCCUUCACAACAGAAGCAACUUUUACCACCCGAUUCUUUGAAUUACCUUCGCUACAUUCCUUAUGCACACCCAGAGUACAAGCUUCCGUCACAUCGGUAUCCAGGCAAACCUAUGAUUUCCAAUAUUAAAUCUAAAAGCAAAAAUCACCCACCUGUUUCCUGUAUAGUUUCUGCUUAUGCUUCAAAGAACGCCCAGCCUGUCAAGAGCUCUGAUCCUCAAUCAAAGUCUCCAGCUAUGACUCCAGAGGAAAAGAUGAAGAAGCUACGUCAGCGGAAGCAAAUACGAGCCACAUUAACUAACGAGCACCAACACGAGCAUUUUUUGUGUCAAACUGCAUUCUCUGGUCAGGCUCCAGGACAGACGCAACUGCACCAAAACCACAAUGAAGUUGAAGGUGAUAGCGAAGUGGAAGAGGCAGGUAGAGGACUUCCAGCAGUAGAAAUAGAUUCUUCAACUGUACAGAAAAGCUCCUGCUUAGGCUCUGUAUUGUCUGAUGAAAUCUCACUCAAAGAAACCAGCUUUAGGCAGCUUCAGGAUGUUAUAGAACAGUUGGAUAUUAGAACAAAGCUGUGUAUACGUGACAGUUUGUACCGUUUGGCUCGGAGUGCUGAGCAAAGGCAUAACUUCAGUGUCACAAACAGUGGAGACGACAGAGGUAGAAGUGGAGCUCCAGCACUAGAAGAAUCCAACAAGUUUCUGGGAUGUAUGGAUGCCGAAACCAAUACAAAUCCCAUAGAUCGAUCUAUAGCGCAUUUACUUUUCUACAGUCCUUCAGAGCCGUCUGCAAGGCUAUCUACAGAUGCCUCGUCCCUCGAAUCUCACAUCGCAAUUAAUGGGAAUAGCCAAUCUGUGAUGCCUGAUCAGCUGGUUUCUCAGAAAGACACUUCUCAUGAUACAGAUACAAAGUUGCUGAUUACUGAAUAGCGAGAAAAUGCAAGCUCGAGCUAGUUUCCUUCUAUUUGAAUUUCUGCCUAUCAUCAUGUUUAAUUAAUGAUUUCUAUGUAGCACCGAUGAGCAGAUGUGUUUUGUUGCUUGCAAACCUCUGUCAUGGCUGAUACCGAAGCCGAGGUAAAAGAGGAAGGUUUAUGACUGGAUUCUGCAGCACAACCCACGACUUUUGGCCCACCCAAAGUUGAUUUUAGCUGUUUCAUCUUGUGUGACUGUGAUCAUUCAAGAAAAAAAAAUUGUGUGAUUGGAGAAAGCUUGUAGGCUAUAGAACCAGUAUCAGAUUAAAAGUGUAGAUUAGAAAGAAUUUCCUAGGUUAGCGAAGUGUAAUAGAUUCUGUGGAGUGUGGUAACUUCCCAUCUGCAGUCGGGUAUCCUGUCUGGAAAGGCACAGAAAUCAGACCCACAUUGAGUGGGCCAUCUCUUUAACAUCAAACCAGCUCAGUAUAAGGAAUCUGGUUGUUUA